GGAUGUGAGGGCGAUCUGGCUGAGACAUCUGUCAUGUCAUUGAUCAUCAGGGUUGAUUUAGCUGGUCUAGAUGGCUAGGCAAGUGUCCCCUUCCUCCCUUGCCACUCCAUGUGUGUCCUUCCUAAAGACUUUGGGUCUUUGGGACCUAUGUGUGCUGGGUCGAAGAGGAAGGCCUUACCAGAAUAGUGACUGACCGGUAUGCUCGGUAGAAGGUAUACAAGUAGCUGUGCUCCCCUGCUAGAGCCUCCAUACAAGCUCUCAAGAAAGUUGCAACUGUACUGAGUUUGUAAUUGCUUUGAUUGAUGGCUACUAUCUCUGGCAACAUUCUGCCUCACCUCAGGCUGGGCUCUCACACAGAUGCUCUCUCCU
rfam:Erinaceus europaeus unplaced genomic scaffold scaffold00094, whole genome shotgun sequence